rnacentral:rRNA from 1 species
GAUGAACGCUGGCGGCGUGCCUAACACAUGCAAGUCGAACGGUGAUAUAUAGAUGAUUUCGGUCUGAAAUAUAUCAUAGUGGCGGACGGGUGAGUAACGCGUGGAUAACCUGCCCCGUACUGGGGGAUAGCAGCUGGAAACGGCUGGUAAUACCGCAUAAGCGCACGAGGGGGCCUCCCCUAGUGUGAAAAGAUUCAUCGGUACGGGAUGGGUCCGCGUCUGAUUAGCCAGUUGGCGGGGUAACGGCCCACCAAAGCGACGAUCAGUAGCCGGCCUGAGAGGGUGAACGGCCACAUUGGGACUGAGACACGGCCCAG